AUGGAAAUUGCGUUCGCUCAUUAUUGCUCCGAUUUCGUAUAUAAAUCACCUUUAAAUUGUGCAAAGUUAUUGCAAAAAUGGCCAACUUCAAAACUUGCGUACUUUUGUGGUUUGUCAUCGAUGUAACGUCCGCGUUGGAUGGAACUGAAGACCAUACAAAGCUUUUAACCGUCAAACAAAUAUUAGAUGGUUCAGUUAUCAGAUCGUGCCCGGGAAUUGAUAUUUACCCUCAUGUGGUUCUCACAUCAGCUUUUUGCCUCCGUACUGAAUCGAAUUCUACCAAAAUUAUUGUCCAGGGUCCGGGGUACAAGUACACCAACGUAACCGCUACCAUUCAUCCAGAUUAUGAAGAGAACACACAUAGUGAUAUCGGUGUGAUCAAGAUUAACGGAGAGGAAGCAUUUAAAUCAAAGUCCCGAAGAAUACCACUAGUUCCGGACGUUGAGUUGGUCGGUAGGUUUGGUCAUACAAAGCCUACUAUGUAUAAUGUUAGUAUAAGUUUAAACGACUGCGACUUCUGUAUGGUGGAAAUUGAUGAAAGAUAUCUACUUUGCACGUGGCCCCUCACUGAAAAGCCUGAAUUAGAUUCUGGUACUCCUUUGUUUAUUAGAAAUAUUUAUACAACUGACCCAGAAAAUGAAUUUGCAAUAAUUGCAAUAUACACCAAUUUUAAUUACUACACCAAUUUGUAUUGUAAUGAGUUUCCUGACCGUCCGUUGAUUUUUACUUUAAUCUACCCACAUCUUGAGUGGGUUGCUAAAGUUGCAAAUAUUUCUUAUUCCCUUGCAAAUGGAUGGCCGAGGAUAAGCUAGAAAGCACUUAACUCACCCCUGCUUUACUUAGUUCGAAUUUCACUACCAGUUUUUUUAUGCACAAAAAUUUCCAGAUUUGUUAUGUGUUUCAAAAACGCCAACGUCGCAUUUUACAAAUUACACAAAGUGCAUAAAUAAUUUAUGACAACUAAUUUUGGGAGAAAAUGCGAAGUUGGCGUUUACAUAGUUUUGAAACUGCUAAUACACCUCACACAAUUUGAACAAAUAAAUACAUUUUUGUCAGCUUA